rnacentral:rRNA from 1 species
GACGAACGCUGGCGGCGUGCUUAACACAUGCCAGUCGAACGGAAAGGCCCUGCUUUUGUGGGGUGCUCGAGUGGCGAACGGGUGAGUAACACGUGAGUAACCUGCCCUUGACUUUGGGAUAACUUCAGGAAACUGGGGCUAAUACCGGAUAGGAGCUCCUGCUGCAUGGUGGGGGUUGGAAAGUUUCGGCGGUUGGGGAUGGACUCGCGGCUUAUCAGCUUGUUGGUGGGGUAGUGGCUUACCAAGGCUUUGACGGGUAGCCGGCCUGAGAGGGUGACCGGCCACAUGGGGACUGAGAUACGGCCCAGACUCCUACGGGAGGCAGCAGUGGGGAAUAUUGCACAAUGGGCGGAAGCCUGAUGCAGCAACGCCGCGUGCGGGAUGACGGCCUUCGGGUUGUAAACCGCUUUCGCCUGUGACGAAGCGUGAGUGACGGUAAUGGGUAAAGAAGCACCGGCUAACUACGU